rnacentral:rRNA from 1 species
AAAAAAGCUGACACAUAGAGAUAGCCGAUCCCGGGCGUUGGUUGACCCGGGCGAAAGGGACCGAACUUCAGUAGGGAAGUCGGCGAUGCUCUGUGGCGAGAAAAGGCGAAGGUAGGGUGCCCGUACCGCAAACCGACACAGGUAGAUGAGGAGAGAAUCCUAAGGCCAACGGGAGAAGGGUUGUUAAGGAACUCGGCAAAAUGGUCCCGUAACUUCGGGAGAAGGGACACCCUCGAAAGAGGGUCGCAGUGAAAAGGCCCAAGCGACUGUUUACCAAAAACACAGGUCUCUGCUAAAUCGAAAGAUGACGUAUAGGGGCUGACGCCUGCCCGGUGCUGGAAGGUUAAGAGGAGGACUUAGCGCAAGCGAAGGUUCGAAUUUAAGCCCCAGUAAACGGCGGCCGUAACUAUAACGGUCCUAAGGUAGCGAAAUUCCUUGUCAGGUAAGUUCUGACCCGCACGAAUGGCGUAACGAUUUGGGCACUGUCUCAACAGCCCACCCGGCGAAAUUGUAGUACCGGUGAAGAUGCCGGUUACCCGCAACUAGACGGAAAGACCCCAUGGAGCUUUUACUGCAGCUUAAUACUGAGAUUCGGUAAUUCAUGUACAGGAUAGGUGGGAGACUUAGAAACCGGGGCGUCAGCUUCGGCGGAGUCACCCUUGGGAUACCACCCUUGGAUUGCUGGGUUUCUAACCUGCGGCCAUGAAUCUGGUCGGGGGACACUGUUAGGCGGGCAGUUUGACUGGGGCGGUCGCCUCCUAAAAUGUAGCGGAGGCGCUCAAAGCUUGGCUCAGCAUGGAUGGAAAUCAUGCAAUGAGUGUAAACGUAUAAGCCAAGUUGACUGCGAGACCGACGGGUCGAGCAGGUACGAAAGUAGGAGUUAGUGAUCCGGUGGUAUGUGAGUGGAAAUGCCAUCGCUCAACGGAUAAAAGCUACCCUGGGAUAACAGGCUGAUCUCCCCCAAGCGUCCACAGCGACGGGGAGGUUUGGCACCUCGAUGUCGGCUCGUCGCAUCCUGGGGCUGUAUUCGGUCCCAAGGGUUUGGCUGUUCGCCAAUUAAAGCGGCACGCGAGCUGGGUUCAGAACGUCGUGAGACAGUUCGGUCCCUAUCUGUUGCGGGCGUAAGAGAUUUGAAGGGAGCUGUCCUUAGUACGAGAGGACCGGGAUGGACUGACCUCUGGUGCACCAGUUGUCCUGCCAAGGGCAUAGCUGGGUAGCUACGUCGGGACGAGAUAAACGCUGAAAGCAUCUAAGCGUGAAACUCCCCCUAAGAUAAGAUCUCUCAUCCUGAAAAGGAGUAAGGCUCGUCGUAGACUAUGACGUUGAUAGGUCAGAGGUGGAAGCGCUGUAAGGCGUGUAGCUGGCUGAUACUAAUAAGCCGAGGGCUUGACC